rnacentral:tRNA from 1 species
GCCUCGGUAGCUCAGUGGAUAGAGCGACCCCCUCCUAAGGGGUAGGUCGGACGUUCGAUUCGUCUUCGACAUCA